rnacentral:lncRNA from 1 species
AUUUUCUUUCACUAAUAUCUUCUAACACAUACCAGUAGCGAAACACACAAGGAAAAACGAAAGAAAACCGUCCAGAAAAGCCUACCCAAAACUCCAAAAUUGCCAAGAAAAAGGGGUUAACACACCCACUAAUACAAAGCUCAAAACAAGUAGGUUUCUAAACGUUUUUUACUCAUGAACACCCACUGAAGCUUUUCCAUUCGUUAAUUUUGCUUAACCUUGCUUAAAUCAUAUUUUGGUUUUUGAGUUCUCAAGUUGUUGUUCCGUUUUUUCGAAUUAUAAGCCUCCACUGUGAAAUCUAAGCAUAGAUUCAUGAUCAGUGCGAAAAAUGAAGCGAAAUAGUGUAUUCU